UACCGCGGUUAUACGAGAGGCCCAAGUUGAUAGACACCGGCGUAAAGAGUGGUUAAGGAUAAAUUACUACUAAAGCUGAACACUUACAAAGCUGUUAUACGCUCCCGAAAGUAAGAAAAACAACUACGAAAGUGGCUUUACACUACCUGAACCCACGAAAGCCAAGGCA
rnacentral:rRNA from 1 species